rnacentral:lncRNA from 1 species
UUAGUUAUCUGUUCGGUAAAACGACAGGAAUUCACUAUACAUACGUAUUGAUAUUUACAUGAUAUAGAAUUACCUGUGACCUGUGACGAAGUAUAAAGUGUAACUCAAGUCAAUCAAACAUCAAAAAAUUGUAGAAUGAUUACGAAAUAAAAAUUGGAUGUACCUACCCGCUUGCUAAGGUUAUAUUUUCUUUACGCUUGCGCUCACAGCUCUAAUUUCAUUAUGUAUCAUUUAUUCUAGGACUCACAAAUAAACUCCAGCCAGCAAACUGCAAACUACGACAACACUAUUGAAACGACAACACUGCCUCACCGAUAAACGAAUGCUCGAAGAGACGCCAGACGCCAUUGCUGGCUGUUACUGGCAGAUUAUCUUACACGUCAGGACUCUACGAAGGUCCAUACCUUUCUUCACUGCGAUCUUACCUUAAUCUAUAUUCGUAAAAGAAUGGAAUCUGGUCGUUAACAACUGAAUACUGACAAUCUAAUAAGUUCUAGUUCUAGAAAUCCGCCAUAACGAUUGGAAUUUCUUUCCUUCAGUACGAACAACAUCGUUUCAUAAAGACAACUGCACACUGCACGGAAGAGAAAAAGGCGGUAAACGUCAACGAACAAAUACGAAAAGGACCGAAGCGAGUCAGCCCAGCAUUCGGAAAAUUCAGUUCCCCAGUCCCGCGCCCAGCGCCCAGCUUCAGUUCAUUUUCGGCCAUGAUAGUUGCAAGUAUGAGGGGAGUCGGUACGUUCAACGAUCGUCGAUAUGUUUAAAUUGGACAGUGUUGGUGUUUAGUGACCGACCAAGGACUGAUAUUGUUUUAUUUCGUUUCAACAUUGUGUUUAAGGAACUUUAAUUAUUUUGUUAAUAAAUGUGCUCGUCGUGUAUCUAGUUUUUUCGACGACAAUGAUUCACGAAUGACUAAGAUGACAUUUUAAGUACAUUGUUCGGUUUGAGUAAAAUAAUUCCUCGGAAUAAUCGUACAAAACAGCCUCUAUAAACGAUUUUAACAUUGUUUCACGACUAUAAAGUUCCUACGUAAAAAACUCGAUUACCAAUUAAAUGAAAAUAACACUACGGACUAUUUUAAGUGAAUAAAACUUCCAACAGAUUUAGAUUGUUUUAUUUCUGAAUAACUAUAUUAUCUAAGCAGAGAAUAAAUAUGUUUCCACCAGUACACCGAAAAUAAAUAAUAGAAAAUAGUAAUUUACUAUUCUAUCAAAAUGUGAAAAUAAUACGAAUGUUAUCGCUAGCUAGGCUUGAAAUUCUCCACUGCAAGGCGUAUUGAUCGGAUGGAGGUCACGCCAAGCGCAUGGCAGCAGUAUAUUAAUAAACCAAUUAUUGAGGUCGACAAAAUUUUCAUACAGGUUCCAAAACGUAGAGAAAAGUGGACGGGAAUGUUUUACAAGUUUAUAAUACUGCGGAAUUACCGUGUUAAAUCGUAUAUUUAUAUAACGAUAUUUUCGCAUAUAGGUACUACGGACGCAUGAGUAUGGUAAUUUAACAAUCAAAUUAACAAUAAUUAUCUAUAGCAACGUGUAAACAGAAUAUAAAAAAUCGAGGAUGGCUUCAAAGUAAUCAUCGAUGUCAUCAUAACAACUCCGACUGAAUUAUUUAGAUUUAUCAGUAGUACAAUCUAUAUACACACGUGAUAAGUUAUAUUAUCCUUUGUGCGUGUCUAAUAAACGUAUGUAUGUUCAUAAAUAGCCUUAAACCGCAGUACGUAUUUCACUCUGUUAUCUAGUGAAGUCUUCCUCACUAAAUUAGUGGCAAAAACAAUACACAGAAGACGGUGUAGGUAAAAUUAAUUUUAAAUGAGACAUUGUACCUUGGUAUGUAAGUACAUAAGUAAAUAGGAUACAUCUAGAUAAUGGUUUUUAGGUGAAAAUGCGAAAAAGUAUAUAGUAAUGCUUGCUGAAAAUAAUACGUAAAAAUAGUGUUUUUUACGACAUAGUUCAGGCGGUUUUAAAGGUAGGUUGGUCCUUAGGGUAGGUCUAGUUAAAUUUUACAUUCCAGGUCGAUAUUUUAUGGGAGGGGUACCUAUAAUAAAUCAAAUAGCAGCAGUAAUGUAAGAGGCACGUCUGGACUAAUAAUAAUAAGUGUUUCCUCUUUCGUUCUCAAAAGUAUUUUAGAUUUUGACAGCAAAACAUACAUUCUCUGAAGAUUUUUAAGUAAGUUUUAUUAUUGGGCUGCUAGGAUAUGAAGAAAAUUCCGGAAAAAAUAUUUUUAAGCAGUACUAACCAAUAUUGUGCAAUAAAUUUAAAUCAGUUUAUUUUUUACAAAAAUAAUCUUGGUAGCAGUAAGGAUACACAAAAUUCCAAAUAUUCAUGGAUCUGCAUAAAAAGAAAAAGUGAAAUAAAGUACCAGUUUUCAGAAAAUAUUUAAAUAUAGGCGUUAAAAUUGAAAUUUUUUUGAUCUUUGUUUUUAUACUUACUUAAUUUUUUUUCAUAUUCAUUUAAAGAAAGGCAGACUCUCUGUCUCGUGUACUUGGCAAGGGUCCGGCAAUAAUGCGCGUAGCUUCUAUAAUAAAUAACUUAGAAACUUUGUAUAGAUGACCGAUACACUAGUGCCGGACCUUGAAUACCAAUCACAUUGUUUGCCAAGUACACGAGUCGUCUGAGUGCGUCAUAAGAUGCAUUUUUUCUGCAGGUACUUUCCAUACAAAGAGCAAAUGUUUCCAUACUGUAUUUAUGAUAUUCAAGGGAUUGUAUGCAUACAGUGUGCCACAUCAAAAGAAACUUUUCGGUUUUUUGGAACAUUUUCCUAAUCAAUUUUAGAUUUUCUAUGGGUUCUUUUUUGUCCUUUGGUAUUUAAUGUUGUGUACAGGGUGUGAUGUGACAAAAUUAUGAACAAUCAUGCUUCAGUGCAACAAGUUUCUUCGGUAAAAAAUGUCUGUAUAUCUCUGUGACGAAUUUAUCUUUUCAAAAAAGUCCUAUGGAAAAAAUUGCCACAUGCAUUAUUUUACAGCGCUUUCAGAUGGAGAGGACCACAACUUCGAGCAAUUACCUUGAGUUUAUGUUUAUAGUUCUGCCAUUGGGGAUCAAGAAGGGGCCUGCUUGGAAAAAAGUCCGGAAGUUUUGAAA